rnacentral:misc_RNA from 1 species
GAAAUGCGAUACGUAGUGUGAAUUGCAGAAUUCCGUGAACCAUCGAAUCUUUGAACGCACAUUGCGCCCCCUGGCAUUCCGGGGGGCAUGCCUGUCCGAGCGUCAUUGCUGCCCUUCAAGCCCGGCUUGUGUGUUGGGUCGUCGUCCCCUCCGGGGGACGGGCCCGAAAGGCAGCGGCGGCACCGCGUCCGGUCCUCGAGCGUAUGGGGCUUUGUCACCCGCUCGAUAAGGACCGGCCGGGCGCCAGCCGGCGUCUCCAACCUUUUUUUCUCAGGUUGACCUCGGAUCAGGUAGGGAUACCCGCUGAACUUAAGC